CCUACGGGGGGCAGCAGUGGGGAAUCUUGCACAAUGGGGGCAACCCUGAUGCAGCGACGCCGCGUGAGCGAUGAAGCCCUUCGGGGUGUAAAGCUCUUUCGACCCGGAAGCGGUACGGGGAGAAGAAGCUGCGGCUAACUACGUGCCAGCAGCCGCGGUAAUACGUAGGCAGCGAGCGUUGUUCGGAGUUACUGGGCGUAAAGCGUGCGUAGGCGGCGGCCCAAGUCUGGUGUGAAAUCUCCCGGCUUAACCGGGAGGGUGCGCCGGAAACUGGGUUGCUGGAGUACCGGAGAGGCAGGCGGAAUUCCUGGUGUAGCGGUGAAAUGCGUAGAUAUCAGGAGGAACACCCGUGGUGUAGACGGCCUGCUGGCGUCACUGACGCUGAGGCACGAAAGCGUGGGGAGCAAACAGGAUUAGAUACCCUUGUAGUC
rnacentral:rRNA from 1 species